rnacentral:rRNA from 1 species
GACGAACGCUGGCGGCGUGCUUAACACAUGCAAGUCGAACGGUGAAGCGCGUUCCUUUUUGGUGGGUGUGGAUGAGUGGCGAGCGGGUGAGUAACACGUUAGCAUCCUGCCCCCGUUUGCUGGAUAACCGCAUGAAAGUGUGGCUACUACGGGAUAUUUUGGGUCUGUCGCUUGAUGGGUCUGGGACAGUUAUUGUUUCGGUUGGAGAUGGGCCCGCGGCCUAUUAGCUUGUUGGUGGGGUGAUGGCCUACCAAGGCGGUGACGGGUAGCCGGCCUGAGAGGGUGGACGGACACAGAGCGAAGGAGACGCGGAGCAGACUCAGACAGGAAGCAGCAGUGGAGAAUAGGGAACAGGGGAAGGAAGGAUGAAGCAGCGACGCGGCGGGAGUGAAGGUGUCCGUCGAGUUAAAAACCGCUUUCGGGGGUGAAGCAAUGUGGCCUGGUUUGUGGAUGGGUUGACGGUAGCUGAAGAAGAAGCCCCGGCUAACUACGUG